GAACUUUUUCAAAAAUGGUGGAUGUUAAAAAUAAUCUUCAUCAACAUCAGAAGUCAACAGAUUCACCUAUUAUCAGUACACAACAUCAAGUGGAACUUAUACUACCUGUCUAUCAAUAGUAUAAAUGUAAUUUUCAAUUAAUUAUCACCACCAACCCCAGCAUGGACUAAUCUCUCAUUCCAUCUUUUAGAGAACCUUGGAUAAAACUGAUUGGUGGUUUCAUGUGUUCCAAAUUAAAGGUUUCUAAAUUGGUAUGAUAGACUUUAUGAGAACUCAUGUCAUUUCAAGAAAAAGGACUAGAUACAGUCAACAAAAUUCCUUGUUUGCUAACCCAUUGACUGUUACCCUUGAAUCUCCCUGUUUUUCAACAACAACAAAAAAAAAGAGGUUCAUAUUGUGAUCAUGCUAUCAUAAAUAUAUGGCCUUUAUAUGAUCAAAUGUGUUGUUGUCCCUCCAAAAUAAGUCAAUGACCACACGUCCAACACAGAUUAUUCGUUUUGUCAUAGAACUUGACUCAUUCCCUCUUCUGGAUUGCUCAGGAAACCUGAUUGGCGUUAUCUGUCCAUUUAGGUAAUGACCGAGAAGAUGCGGCCUACAUGAAUAUCAUUUCGGCGGCCAUUAUCAUUCGACUACCCAACCGGCUUCUACUACCCUGGUCUCAUCACAGCACGGAGUUUUACCCUUAAGAUUUUUGGCUGUUCGCGAUGUGUGAUAUUUCGUUAGAUGAGAUGAUGUUGAUUUUGGCGAGAAAAAUAUUGCGUGAGUAACUAAUAUUUUUUCUUUAUAUUUGAUUCAAUCUAAAGAGGUCACACAAUUUUACUGCAUUGAUCGUCAUUAUACCCUUUUAUUAUCAUUUCCAUACUACAGAGCUAAAAAAUAAAACUAUC